rnacentral:rRNA from 1 species
AUUGAACGCUGGCGGCAGGCCUAACACAUGCAAGUCGAACGAGUGGCGGACGGGUGAGUAAUGUCUGGGAAACUGCCAGAUGGCCGGGGAUAACUACUGGAAACGGUAGCUAAUACCGCAUACCAUCAGAUGUGCCCAGAUGGGAUGAGCUAGUUGGUGGGGUAACGGCUAACCAAGGCGACGUUCCCUAGCAGGUCUGAGAGGAUGACCGGCCAUACGGGAACUGAGACACGUGCCAUACGCCUACGGUAGGCAGCAGGGGGAAAUAUUGCACAAUGGGAGCAAGCCUGAGGCAGCCAUGCCGCGUGUAUGAAGAAGGCCUUCGGGUUGUAAAGUACUUUCAGCGGGGAGGCGUUACCCGCAGAAUAAGCACCGGCUAACUCCGUGCCAGCAGCCGCGGUAAUAC